UGAUCCAGUGGCUAAGAUGCUGCACUCCCAAUGCAGAGAGCCCAGGUUUGAUCCCUGG
rnacentral:tRNA from 1 species